rnacentral:rRNA from 1 species
AUGCCUGAGCACAGGGAACUCAAGAGGACGGCCCUCACCGACCUCUCUGGCGGCGGCUUCUUUAUCAGGAGGGUGGCCUCGCCGGGGGCUCUGGCAGGGAGGCGGGCUGGGAAGCCGCUGCCCCGGCGGUUCGCGUCGCCCUCCAGCAACAAGGAGAACGUGCCGCCAGUUUGGGCUGUGAAGGCUACGCCGCCGAGGAGGAGGAGCCCGCUUCCUGGUUGGUACCCGAGGACGCCGCUCCGUGAUAUCACGGUGAUUGUAAAGGCUAUUGAGAGAAGCCGCUUAAGGAUUGCUGCAGCUCGGCAGCAAAGCGAAACGUCUGAGCAAUCUCCGCAACCUGCGAACUUGACGACUCCGGUACCAGCAGAGCAGGGCACUCCUCAUUCUACUGAAGCUCAGGACUCCCAAGCUAUCGCCUCUGGUUCUGGCUUAACUGAAAUGGUUGCAAACCCUGCACCUAGCCAGGCAGAGCACAGCUUCAAGGUCUAUUCUUCGCCAUCCAAGAGCUCACAGAAGACUCCAACCAAACCCAUCGAUCCAGCGCUUGCUGAUCUCAUGGAGAAGAAACUGACCAGCUCAAUAGAGCAAAUCGAGAAGAUGGUGAAGAAGAACCAGAAGAAGGCCGCUCAGCCUUCCAAGAGGGCCAACCAGAGGCGCACUCUCAUGUCCAUGCGAUGA